CCUUGCUGUUCCCAUCCUACAUCUUCCCAAAGCCACAGGAGAACAGACAAGAGCACAACCCUUGGAGACUUUCUUCUUCCAUAGUAACCCAACCCACCCUUUGCCAAGAUGUAUAACCCUCCGUCGGGGCAGGAGAUGUCCUACACGGACCACGUGCAGAAGCGCCACGAGGAGAAGGGCUGCAUCUACGCAUGCGUGUUCACGGCGCUGUGCUGCUUCUGCUGCUACGAGACCUGCGAGUGCUGCCUCGAGUGCCUCUGCUGCUGCUGCAACUAAACCAAGCCGCCAUGACCGACAUGGACCGAGGCCGCAAGGCGCAGCGGAGUUCCACCGGCCUCCGCCGCCUUUCAUAAUAAGCAUAUAUGUCUAGUGUCUUAGCUCGAUGAGAAGAACCGUACCAGAUAUUGCAUCAAUAUAAUACUAUCUGUCCCAGACAACGCUAUCACUGUAAUCAUCAA